AGGUGCGAUCAUACCAGCACUAAUGCACCGGAUCCGGCGAGAGUAGUAGUAGGAUGGGUGACCUCCUUGGAAGUCCUCGUGUUGCACCUC
rnacentral:rRNA from 2 species